rnacentral:rRNA from 1 species
CGUAGGGUGCGAGCGUUAAUCGGAAUUACUGGGCGUAAAGCGUGCGCAGGCGGUUUUGUAAGACAGAUGUGAAAUCCCCGGGCUCAACCUGGGACCUGCAUUUGUGACUGCAAGGCUAGAGUACGGUAGAGGGGGAUGGAAUUCCGCGUGUAGCAGUGAAAUGCGUAGAUAUGCGGAGGAACACCGAUGGCGAAGGCAAUCCCCUGGACCUGUACUGACGCUCAUGCACGAAAGCGUGGGGAGCAAACAGGAUUAGAUACCCUGGUAGUCCACGCCCUAAACGAUGUCAACUGGUUGUUGGGUCUUUACUGACUCAGUAACGAAGCUAACACGUGAAGUUGACCGCCUGGGGAGUACGGCCGCAAGGUUG